rnacentral:rRNA from 1 species
UGGGGAAUUUUGGACAAUGGGCGAAAGCCUGAUCCAGCAAUGCCGCGUGUGUGAAGAAGGCCUUCGGGUUGUAAAGCACUUUUGUCCGGAAAGAAAUCCUUGGCUCUAAUGCAGUCGGGGGAUGACGGUACCGGAAGAAUAAGCACCGGCUAACUACGUGCCAGCAGCCGCGGUAAUACGUAGGGUGCAAGCGUUAAUCGGAAUUACUGGGCGUAAAGCGUGCGCAGGCGGUUUGCUAAGACCGAUGUGAAAUCCCCGGGCUCAACCUGGGAACUGCAUUGGUGACUGGCAGGCUAGAGUAUGGCAGAGGGGGGUAGAAUUCCACGUGUAGCAGUGAAAUGCGUAGAGAUGUGGAGGAAUACCGAUGGCGAAGGCAGCCCCCUGGGCCAAUACUGACGCUCAUGCACGAAAGCGUGGGGAGCAAACAGGAUUAGAUACCCUGGUAGUCCACGCCCUAAACGAUGUCAACUAGUUGUUGGGGAUUCAUUUCCUUAGUAACGUAGCUAACGCGUGAAGUUGACCGCCUGGGGAGUACGGUCGCAAGAUUAAAACUC